UUGGUGCGUGAGUCAAGAUGGAAUUGAUCCCUUUGAAUUAAUAGGAGAUAUGCAUUAGUGUAUUUUAAUUUAAUAAAAUCUUGGUCAGGAUAAUCCAUGUGAUGGAUUUAAAAGGUUGAAAUACAAUAUGAUCGACUAUAUUAAGGUUGACAGUCAAACCCUAGGUCACCUUGAGCAUUAGGAUCAAAGGGAUGAAUUAUAUGGUAAU
rnacentral:lncRNA from 1 species